rnacentral:lncRNA from 1 species
CAUAGCCACACUCCAACUGAGUACAGUGCCCAGCACAUGGCUAAUACUCCAUAAAUAUUUACUGCAUGAAUAAAAGAUCGAAAGAGGGGACUCCCGAGUCUCUUCUGGACAUGGUGAUCCUUCCCUCACAGCAUGUACUAUGCUCAGCUCCUCCCUCCCUCUUGGGCCAGUCUUCAAAUGAGUAAGAGUCACAGAAAUAGUCAGCUAAAAGAAGGAGGAGAUGCUGUGCCUUGAAAAGGUCCACUGAGGCUGCCUUCCC